ACCCCCCCUUUCUCCCUUUCCCGAGCCUUUACAUUCUCUGCACUUUCUCCCGAGCUUUAGGGCUCGGGAUUGGAAGUUGUUUCCUUACGUUUUCCUUACCGAGGUCUAAGGCUCGGGAAUUGUUCUAAUUUCUUCAAGGAAGCUUCCCGAUGUUUGGCAACCUCGGAAACACAUUUUUCACAUUCCGAACUUCACAAACUCGGGAAAUCCACAUUUAUAAAUUACCGAGGCAUAUCCCUCGGAAAUAUUGUUUGAUGUGGGCUUGGAUCCAGGACUAGCCCACAAGAAAUUCACACUAAAAUGGGCCUUGAUGUGCAAUUGCAUGAUCCAUCUUUUGUUUUCCUACGCAUGAUAGUACAGUUCUGCAGUGACGUCUCCUGUCAUUUCAGUCUCAGAGCGUCAGUUUCUGUCAACUUUGCUUCUUCUUCACGGUUAGAAACUCAAGUCUCUAGGGUUUUCAACAUUUUUAUUUUUCUCAUCACUGUGAACUUGGUUUUGUCACUGUGUUUGCCCACUGUGCAACGAUGAACUUCAAAUGCUGAGUUAUUUCAUUUUUUGUGAUUUUUGUUGAUGCUUUAAACUAACAUCACACUUUUGUUCUUGCUUGCAGUGUUGCUUCUAAGAUCACCCACUUGUGCUUGCUUGCAGUGUUGAAAUGGCUGAGGUUCGAGACACUCUUCGUUCUUUCACGUGUUGUUGAAGUGUUGCUUGCAUCAUUUUCAUCAUUUUGCUGUUUAAAAACUUUGAUCUUGCUAACUUGAACUUCAUGUUUCUACUUUUGGUCAUCAGUUUUAAUUUUUUUUAGCUUAUGUUGAUUCACUUGAUUGCAAUGCAUAUAUAGGGUUCUUAACUUUUAAAAAGUUCUUAACUUUUUUGAAAAGUUCUUAUCUUUUUUUGUUUUUUGGUAAAUGACUAACUUCAAACUUUAGUUUAUGCCAUUUGUGACUAUGGCAAGUUAGCAAAUGAAAAAAGUUUUAACUUCAACAAGAAAUUUCAUUUUGUUUCAGUAUCCAUAUGGUUCAAGAGCUUACCACGGGAAUUCCUCAUCAGGGGCCAGGCAAUAUAAUACUAAUGUAAGUUAUCAACAUUGACAUAUCUCAACCUGGAAAUUACACCUUAGUAUCGCCAAAGAAAUGCUAUUUAUUUAUGUGAAACACACAUCUGGAGCUCUUGUAAGAUCUUUAUUGGUGAGAGUGAGACAGGUGUUGAAUAAAUUGUUCCUGAGGUGCACCUUUAGGCAACUUUUUUUUUUUGAAUUCUGGCAUCAUAUAAUUCAAAUCAACCUACAAAGUUUUUUCUGCCAAUAUUAACUCUGCUUAAGACAUUUCAUUGGUGAAUUUCUGCCAUAAGGAUAGGUGUGAGACUGUGCUGGACUUGUUUCUUCAUUGUUCAGUUAUCGCUGAUGCAACUUUUAAAAUUCAAGCCUAUUCUAGUGUUAAUACAUGGAGUCAUGGAUGUGUGCAAGUAAUGGUUCCUGUAGCUGAAGGCUGGGGGCUUCACCAUCAAGCCAUAGAUUAAAUUGUUCUUUGGGCCAUUUUAGGCCAAUGCAACAGUCAUAACAGAUGUCCUGAUGGAGGCUAAAGUAUACUGUUGUGCUGUGUAAUAUCUUUCUGUGCUGAUUGAUUCAACUGGGUCUCAUUUGUUGUUCAAAAUGUUUGGAAAAAAUUAUGAAUUUUUAAAUUUUCAUGACAUUUUAAACUUAAUAUAAUUUUUUCCCUUUUAACUUUGAGAUGUGAAGUUAUAUGUUGGCUCAGAGGGCUUUUAAACUGGAUGGAAAGUUUCAGAAAUUUUUCUUUGAAAUCAAUCAAUGCAUUUGAGCUUUUAGACAGGAUUCAUUACAUAUUUAUGCUGAUCUUUCUUGAUUGAUUCUCCACCUCUCUUCUUAGCUGGAUUAUUUGGCAUACUUACAACAACAAAGCUUUCUUGCAGCUUUCUUGUAUCCUUGAGUUUGAUGGUGCUUCCAGAGGAAAUCCUGGACCGGCUGGUGCCGGAGCUGUGCUGCGUGCUAAAGAUGGGAGCAAGGUGUCUACUGUAUACAGCAAUUCAUUUUGUUGAUAUGUGCUUUAACAAAUGUAGCUAACUCUUAUGUAUCAUUAUAGGUCUAUCGGUUGCGUGAAGGAGUUGGCAUUCAAACAAACAACUUUGCUGAAUAUCGAGGUUUAAUUUUAGGACUAAAACAUGCUAUCCAGGAAGGAUACGAGCACAUUGAUGUCAAAGGAGACUCCAUGCUUGUUUGCAACCAGGUUUGGCAUCUGUUCAGUUUAUGCAUUGUUCUUAAUAGGUUUCAAUAUUGUGAGUUGAGAUUUACCAACAACGAUUACUCUUCAGUUUUUCAUACAAUUUUUUCUAACCAGUUUACUAUCUGAUGUGAUUGCUUUUGCAACAGGUUCAAGGUGUUUGGAGAAUCAACAAUCAGAAUAUGGCUUAUUUGUGUAAUGAAGUGAAGGAGCUGAGGAAUAGGUUUCUAUCAUUCAAGAUUAGUCAUAUUCCUAGGGUACCUACUUACUCAUUUGGUCCAAGUUUUAUAUUUAUUUACAAAAGUGAAGAAAAUUUUGGCUAAAUUGUUCCCUUCACCCAUAUGGGUAAUGCUAAGUGGACAUCUCUGGAUAAACAAAAGAUGAAUCUUGAAAAUAAAUUCACUAGCAUCUGACAAUCAUUUAUAUGUGAUAAACACUGGAAUCAACAGUGAAGAAGACAAAUGUAGAAACUGAAAGCUAACCAAGAAUCACUGAGAUUCCAAGCUAGAGAUGAAUUGUAUUGAUAGAAAUUGGGGAAGAACAAUUAGGGUUUACAACUGAUUUCCCAAUGAUCAGUUCCUGGUUCCACAACCAGUUCCAAAUUCUACUUUCCCAAAAGAUGACUUCUACUACAAGUUUCAGCUAUUUAUAGCCUAUUGAACUAACAGCUCUCACUGCCAGCUAACAACUCUAACAAACUCUAACCGCCAGCUGUCAACUAGCUGGCUAAUUGAUUUAUUACACUUUAGUCCUUAGACUAUGCUUUCACAUAACUCUAGUCCUUUUCCUAACAUACACAUGUUUAAGGGCUGGCUUAGCCCUAGACCUAUCAAUAUGUCAUAGUGUUUCCCAUGGAUUUUUAAUUCUCAUGCCUACCUAUAAAUGAGGCCAUGUGAUCCAAAUGCUCCAGUAGCUAAAUUAUCUACAAUAAAAGUCCUGGUUCCAGUAAUAACUAGACUUUGACCAGUUUCCUACUAUUAUUGCUUAAGCUAUGUGUCCUCAAAGUAUUUGUGUGUUGUUAAGAAUUAAGAUCACUAGCAGCUUAAAUAGUUUAUAUGAAUAUUUACAUGCAAUUCUUACUAAUUUUAUAGUUUUUUAAAUGACAACUACCCUUAUUUUUUGCCUCACUUUUUUUGUGAUGUUCAAGGAAUAUAACUAUGAAGCUGAUGUUGAAGCAAAUCUAGGCGUAAAUCUCCGAGGUAAAGACCCCAAGGAUUUCCCUAUACAGUUCACUUCUUUGCUUCUCUAAUAAAUGAGAAUCCAUUUAGUAAGAUGAUUUGCAGCUAAGGCUGCUCUGAAACCUAAAAGCUGCUGUUGUUUGUAUUUGAGUAUAAUUUUCAAUUGAUAUGUUUUCAUUUUGUAACUAUAAUAAUGCUACCUUUUCUGCUUACUAAAAAAUACAGGAAGAAAAUAGUGUUAAGUGAACAACGUCUUAGCUUUCCGUAGGUUUUAAUUUCAUAUCUACUUUUGGAAGGGGUAAAUAAAUUUUCUAACUGGAUCUUAAACUUUUGCAGCUGGUCAAGUUGAAAAGAACGUGAGAUUCCUUAAUGGAUGACUGGCAGUAUCAAGCAUUAUCAGUUUCCUUUUGCUUUCAGCUAUUGGAAAUUUGGAUGCUGUAACAAAGAAGCCAGUUAAAUUUCUAACUAAAUAUGUUUUAUGCCACUCUUUUUCUUGUGUUGGCUCUCUCUAAUUCAGCCGUUUGGAUCAAUUACUGUUAGCCGUUUUGUCUGUUUGACUAUGCAUAUCGUGUAGAUGCUCACGAUUGGGGGACUAAAAAUAGUACUGCUGUUAUGUUUGGAUGGCAUUGCCUCAGCUAAUGCAAGACCUUAUUAUAAGUAUAUGUGGAGUCCUUCAGUCGUUUUGAAUUAAGACUUAGACUCAAGCUAUUUAGUGUUGCAUGUUCUUAAACUAAAAUUGUGAAAAUUGUUAUAGAAAAGUGAUUCAAAGAAAGUCAUUUUUUGUUGUUGAGGAUGAGCAGGUAAAUGCCGUCACAAUUGGGGACUGCCUGUUAAGCCUUCAAAUAUUUAUUGUUGAGUGUUGACAAGGUUGAUUAGGUACGGCUAAUGGAUGAGUUGAUUGAGAUAUUUGGUUGUAUUUUUUUAGAAAAUAAGAACAAGUACGCUUUGGAAUUUUGUGAUUAUCACUUGCUGCAUAGUCUCUCCAUUUUGUGACAAUUUAUUCAUAAAUAAAACUCCUUAUUUGAAAUUGUUUAUUAGUUUUUCUUUAUGAUAUUAAUUUUCUAUUAGAAUUUGUCUUGUAAUUGUUAUUUUUAUAUCUUUAGAUUGUUCUACUUGUCAAAUCAUAUGAAUAUUUUUCGAGUUUAACGUUUUUGAAAAGAAGUUAUGCCUACACAAGAAUGGACCUAACAACUCAUUUAAGCACAACUGAAAGUAAGGUUUGCUUUUGGUGGUGGUGCACAACCUUGAUUUGCCUUGCUUUGCAAAGCGGAGCUGCGUUGACACGACGGGGGGUGUACCUUUAGAAGAUGCUUUGAUGCUCAAGUUAGUGAGUAAACAAAUAGAAAAUCUCGAAGUUUGAAGGAUUCUAGGUUUGCAUCAUAAGUAAUGCGUAAAUUAAUGAACAACUGCACUUGCAAUUGUAGGAUUGGUAUUGUAAGUCUUUAGGAAGUCUCGUGUAUGGUCUUUCGAUGUCGUGGUUUCCCUUAGGCAGCCAACCUUUGUGAUCUUUAAUAAAUGAGUCGGCGUUUGGGUGGUGGUCUUAGUUAGGAUGAAUUCUUCCUUUAACUAAGUCAUCUCAUGCACCUCUAUGACACUCAAUUGUGAGGCAUUUGGGCGGACAGUCUUUUAACUUUUGGGGCUGGGUAUAACACUUUCUUUACUUGCUCCUUGAUACAUAGAAAUCUUCUCCACAACCUGAACACCACAUGUUCUCGAGGGUUAGCCUAAGUGGUAAGAGUUAGGGAACAUAAGGGUUGAGUGAGAUGUUGGGUGGGAUGAAGGGUGAAGGGUCUAGGGUUCAAAACUUGAUGAGAGACUAAUUUACUAACAUUACUAACAACUAAUAUUUUCCUGUAAAAAAAACAUAUCAUCACACACAUAACCAGGUCCUAUUGCAAACAUUAGCCAACCAGUGCACUAGUUGUACUCAACAAACAUAUUUAUGUGGAACUUGGCUUUUUUUCACAUGCAGGGCUUACAUUUUUUCUUUCAGAGGUAUCUCACCUCUCUUUCACCGCAUGAGCUAUCUACAAGGGACAUUAAAUUACUACUUGAAUUAUGUUGAAGUCGACUCUUGAUAAACACAUACACAUAGACAAAAGAGAGAGGUAUGAAAUGAGAUGAAAAAGAAUACUAAAUUAUGUGAGAUAAACAUAUUUACAUAUGCCAUCUAUUUUUUGUUCACACAUGCCAUUUCAAUACAUAAUUUCUUCUUGUCAAAAAACACACAAAAUCUUGGGCUUAAGAAGCUAUUGGGCCAAAAACAUCUACAACCAACUUCACACAUGUAAAGAAAAAACAGAAAAAAAACUUGGUACUAGAAGCAGUGUACAACAUCAUGUUCUGUUGUGGAUAGGGAGUGAAAAACAGCAACUUCAUCAUCAACUAUCCAACCAGUUAUCAUCACUGUGUGUUGAAAAUGGCAACACUAUUUUCAUCUCCAUCUCUGCAUUCCAUUCGCCUCUCUUCUCCUCCUUCUUCUACACCUUCUUCUCCUUCCCUCGCGUUUUGCACCUUCCCUCUCCACCCUCGCUGUUCACCUUUGAAGGCAUGGACAGUCAAGAACCGUUUGUUUCGUGUGGCCAAGGCGGUUGAAGGAGAAGAAGAAGUCAGCACCACUGAGUCUGAACCACCGCAACAACCAUCCACCUCGGAGCAGCAACCCGUUGUGGUUCCCAUUUCCCCAUCUGAUACUCUCACCAUGCUCUUUCAGGUACACCACCACUAGUUUCACUUUGAUGACUGGUAGGUGCUUGUUGUAAUGCCCGUGUGAAAAUUUUGGAGCUUUGGACCUUGUAUGUAAUGUGAUGAACUAGUUUUGUGGAUGUUCCUUUAAAUCUAAAUUGUGAUGAAUUUUGCAGACCUACCCAUUAGGCAAUUUUUGUUCUUUGUUUGAUAUUUUGACUCAGUUAUUAUCUUUUCUUGCAAUUGUGGUCCUAAAUUAUGCAGGGAUUGUAUGAAAUUAGAAUACUGAUAAAAAUAGGCUUAUCAUGAUAGUGUUUGAUAAAAUGACAUGCAAGAUUGUGUAAGGCUGAGACUUCUUGAUGGGGGAGGUUGUGAACUGUGAAGUAACUACAGAGUGAACCUAGCUAAAUAAAUUGGACUAAGCACCCAAAUUAGUGUCUUAAAGAUACAGCUUUAAUCAUAUUAGUCUUUGUAAGACAAAAAUGACCAUGUAAAUCCCUUAAAUAUCCAUUCCCUAGGUCAAAUUAGUCUUAGAGUUAAUAAUGUCAUGGGCUAAUUUGACUUCUAAAAUACAUGUUUUAGGGACCUAUGUGAUCAUUUUCAUCUUCCUGAUAUUAAUUAUCAACAUUCUAUCUUUCUAGGAAUCAAUUGAGAGUUUACUCAAAUAAUUAACCCUAACUGUCCGCAUAUCAUAUCAUAUCAUAUUGGCUAAAGACCUAUCAUAUUAUCCUCACUGAUCAAUACUGCAUAUGUCUGCCCCCUAAACGGACGGAUAACUUAAUAAAUGGUCUUUUGAGCCACUGAUUAUGGUAUAUACUUGUUGUAAUUGGAUCACUUUGCUUGGGACUAACUGUCUACUUUGGCAAAUUUGAAGGCAGAGGGAAUAUUGAAUGAAACAGCUGUUCCAGCUUUAACAAAAGCUCUAGAGGUAGCUCUAUAAACUUUCAUAAUCUAAAUUUUUUUUGUUCAAUAACUUCAAUGUGAACAUAGAUUGAUGCAGUAAGUCAUUUUUCUGUCAUUGUGUCAUUUGUCUGUAUUCUGUUCCGAGUUCCUUGUUGAACCUAGCAGCCAUAAUGCUGCUUAUGAUUAGGUUCUUGUUUUUUAAUAUCACCAUUUAUUACUUUCUUCUAAAAAGUACAUGAAUGAGUCUUGUUGACCGGUUGCCUUUAACUUAAUGAUGAUGCAGGCAGGUUAGAGUGUUUUCUUUUUUCAGACUGAAUCCUGUCCAUCUUCAAUCCAAAUGUAAUUUAAAAGAAGAUAAUGGUAUACUACAUUUGGGAAACAAAAGUCAACCUAGUUUAUGAAUGGGGUGAGAUGUUCAUAGGAUGAUCAUGAAGAGAGGAAGUCCCAUUCAUUGGCCAAAUAUUGUGAAGUGAGGGGGAAUGCGUUUCUUCGUCUGCAGUAACAGAAAUAGCUUAAUCUAGUCAUGGGCGUAUGUCUUAUUUAUAUCCAUUAAGGAUUUAUAAAGACAGCUUUUAAUUCUAUUUCUAUAAAAUAAUUUGGUUGUUAUAUUUUUGAUUGUCUUCUUUGUUUGUUCUUCUGUCAUGUCGUUAUUGUCUUUGGAAACUUUGGGGCUUAUUACCUUAACACUUGCUUAUUAAUGUUCCAUUACGUUUAUCUUUAUAGGAGACAGAUGGUGUUACCAAUUUGAGGGUUCAUCUUUUUGAGGGACUCGCAAGUUUAGAGGUAUGCUUUAGUACAAUAUCCAAUUGCCUAAAGGCUUUUAUUUCUUUCAAUAAUGAACUCUAAACUAUUGAUUUUGAAUGAUUGUGAGAAAUCAAACUAUUUUUUGCUGCAACCUUUAUGGGAUUGAAAUCUCCUCUUAAUAAUUAAUUCAUUAUUUUGUCAUUGAAAUGUUGAUAAUACACAUCAUAUCCUUGAUCUUUAUAAACUUUGCUACUGUUAAGUUUUUUAUGUAAGGAAGCAAGUGCUCAUGAGCCCGUGGCAGAGAAUUUAAGAAAUGGUUUUUUAUUAGGUAAACAUUACACGAUGAGUUUAACUUUACUUCAAUAUCAUUAAUGAAUUUUGUGCUCUUAUUCAGUUGGAAAAACAGACAACAGUCCAAGCUACAGGAGUGGCUUCUAGUCUGGUAGAAACCAUACAAGGUUUAGGCUUUAAAUUACAGACGUUAAAUCUGAGCUUUGACGACGCAGAAGUUGCAGCUGCCUAGACUAAAUGUGCUGGUUUAAGACCACUGGAGUUUGAGGAAGGAACAAUUUAUAGAAGUGGCAUGUUCCUGCUUUUCUGACUAACGCCUACUGCAGUCAUUUUUGGUUUGUAUAGGCUUUGAUUAAGGGUGUUGGUUAUCUUUUUUUGUAUUUGGAGGGUGUUGCUUAAAUUUCUUUAUUGUUGUUAUUAUUUCCUGGAAAAAUUUUAAGAGUAUGUAAUGAUAAAAGGCUUCAACUGAUACAGCUUUUUGAUGGUAGAAAGCUUCAUCUGUUCUUUUUUUUUUUUAAAUCUUAAUUUUGUAUUAUUUUAUUAGACAUGCUCGACCAAGUUAAGAAGUGGACUUUAAAGGAUACAAUACCAAUUUAAUUAGGGUAUCUUACCAAUUAUUUUGUUUUGUAGCUAGUUUGGUUGAUGAAUAAGGUUAUGAAAUGAAUUGAAAUUACAAUUGAUACCACCUAAAACCAUGAGUUAAUAUAUGUUCUAAAGUUGAAAACAUUAUAUAUCUAAUGAAAAACCAAUUAUUUUGUUUUACUGCUAGUUUAGUUGAUGAAUAAUGUUAUCAAAUGAAUUGAAAUUACAUUUAUACCACUGAGAACGAUAUAUGAGUUAAAUUAAUAUAUGUUCUAAAGUUGAAAAGGUAAUAUUAAAGAAAACCCACAUAAAUGUAAACUAAAGCAUAGUAAUAUGUUUGUUUUUCUUUCACCGCAUUAGUCCUUCAUUCUCUAGUUGUGUUGGAUGUUCCUUCAUUGGUGGUCUUGGCGGCUCAUGUAAAUAACACCCUGCAUACAUUAUUAAGAGCACAAGUCCACAAAUUGCCCCUAUGACAUUGCCAAUCAAGGUAUAAAUGUAUGGGUGAAAUAAGUGCAAAACUAUCCGAGUAGAAUCCAUUUACCCUUUUUGAAAAUGGACCGUUUGAUCAACAAUGUGUAACACAACUGGUAGAUAGUUGGACUCUUUAAUCAUUUAGUCCAGAGUUCGAUUUCGAGGCGGUGCGUAUGGAGAAGCAUUUGUUUGGAGAGCUAGGAGGUCAUUAUCCUUAGGUUCACAUUUACACUAUAGGGGUUGGAGUUCCCAUAUACUUCCAUGUCUUAUUUUCUCUGUUUUAUAAAAAACUUAAUAGUAGACUAUUUUAGUAUUUUUAUCAGCAAAGAAAAAUUAUUAAAUGUGAGCAUGCUAUAGUUAGCUGUUCCAGAGAAGGUGAGAACUUUCAUCUGGUUGGCCCUUCAUAACUCCAUUCAGGUUAACGCGCAUCGCUUCCGCUGCAAGAUGGCGGUGGCUCCUUCUUGUCCUCGUUGUUCAGCCCCGGAGGAGGAUAUCUUACACUGUCUCAGAGAUUGCCCUCACUCCCAAGAAAUUUGGCUAAGGCUUGGGGCAUUGGCGUGGACUAAUUUUGGUGUUGGAGAUCAUGGCAAUUGGAUCAGCAGCCAAGCUCGAAGCAGGAAUAGCGUGAAGUUCUUGGCUGGUGUGUGGGGAGUGUGGAAAUGGAGGAAUAACAUGGUUUUCGAGGAUUCACCUUGGUCGGUUGAUGAAGCUUGGCGUAAGCUUUGUCAUGAGCACGAUGAGUUCAUUACUUUUUCAGAUGGGGAUGCAGGGGAUCCUGGGUCUUGGCUGAGUUCUAGGUGGCAACCGCCGAGGCAAGGGACUGUUAAGCUGAACGUGGAUGGGAGUUUUUGGGAGCAGGAUCGCUGUAUGGGGGCGGGUGGCUUGAUUCGGGAUGAUCAAGGCAAAUGGCUGUGCGGUUUUUAUGCUCACCGAAGAGGGGGGAAUGCGUUAAUUGCAGAAGCUACUGCGCUGUUGAUAGGCCUGGAGCUGGUGUGGGAUCGGGGUCAUCGUCAUGUCAUGGUGGAGGUGGACUGUGGGGAGCUGCUGCAUGCGAUGGAGGAUGAAGAGAGCUGUCGUUUUUUGCCCAUCCUGAAUGUCAUCCGCAGCUUCAAGACCCGGGAUUGGAGCUUGAGCAUUCAUGUAGCCCGUCGAGAAUGCAAUGCGCCGGCGGAUUCCCUCGCCAAGACAGGAGUUCGGUCAGCUUUGGUGGACGUUUGCUUCUUGGAAGACCCUCCUCCAGAUGUUGAAACGCUAGUCCUUAUGGACUCUUUGUUUGUUCGUUAGUUUUUGUAGCUCUGUUAGUUUUCAGAUGAAGCAAAAAAAAAUGCUAAAGUUAAUUCAACCCACAUAUAAAAAGACCCCACAGAUCCCAUUAAAAUGUUUCACUACUGAUAAGAACUAAGACCAUCCACAAUGGAUGGUUGAAUCCUUUGUUGAAGUGUGUUUAAUUGUGUUGAAUAGGUUUAGUGGUUUGUUGAAAUUGGUUGAAAGGGAGAGAGAGGGUGAUUUUGUUGAAGAUUUUAAACAUGUUGAAAGAGCCUGCGGUGUGCCACGUGGCGCGAGGCCAGUGGCCACCGCAGGCGCGUGGCAUGCACGCCCAGACGCGCCUUGUCUGCAGGGGAGAGAGAAAAAAAUUUUCAGCCCCUGCCACGUGGCUGCCUCUGGUUGGUCCGUCCGGAUUUCGUUUUUCCUUAUCUUUUGAACUCAAUUAUUUCAUAAAAAAAAAUAUUUUCUGAAAAAAAAAAUUAUACCAAAAUUCAUGAUUUUUUUUUCUCUAUAAAUAGAGACUUGGUUCGUUUGAUUUGGACACAGAAAAAAAAACCAAGUUUUUUCACACUCUUAUUAUCUCUCUCACCAUCUUAUUUAUCUAUAUAUUAGCAUUUGUAUUGAAAUGGAUCCCAACAAUCCUCAUUUCAACACCCAGAAUUCUUCAAACAACCCAUUUUCUCUAUAAGUGUUUAUUGUUUUAAUUUAAUUUAAAUCGAUAAUUGUAAUUUUAUGUAAUUAUAAAAACAAAAAUAUAAAAUUAAAUAAAAAUGUGAAAUAAAAAAGUGGUGGGGUAGGGUGAGUGGUGAGUGGUGAGUGGUGGGGUAGGGUGUUGAGAGUUAAACAAAACCAUUGGAGUGGGUAAUUGUUGAAAGUUUGUUGAAUUGGAGAGAGAAGAUGAUGUGGAGUGUUGGGAAGAGAAAAAGUGGAGUAGAAAAUGGUUAAAUAAAACAUUUUUUGUUUAAUCAUUGUAUAUGGUCUAACAUCAUAAAUAAAUACCACCAUAAUUUCUUUUAUCUUUGACAGAUCUAUCACUCAUCAUAACAAAUGUUUUUUUAAGAUUUAAACUGGAUCUAACUUGCUUACUAUUGUACUAUCAUAACACCUGGUUAAUAACACUACUACACUUUGAAGAAAGCCAAGAGCGGGAUGAACUCUAAUGAGGUCCACAACGUCCUUAGAAGAUUGAUUCUUAAAUACCACCCAAUUUCUUUACCUUGCAAUCAAUUAGAAAUUAAUAGGCUAAAAAACACUUUUGCCCCCUGAUGUUUCAAGUUUGUGCAAAUUCUGCCCCUACUCUAUUUUUGUCGAUGUUUCUACCCCUCAUGUUUUCAAACAGUGCAUCGUCUACCCCUCCAUCAGUCAAACGUUAAAAAACUAACGGAAUGAGCUGAUGUGACUUUUUUUUAUAUAUUUUUUGGAACUGCCACGUGGAAAUUACAAGUGAAAUUGGAAAAAAGAGGCAAGGGAGAUUCAAACUCAAAACCUGUAAGUAGCAAAACAUGCAUUUAACCAGUUCAAUUACAUGCAUAAUUGAUAUAAACAUCAAGCAAAUUUAAUUUAUAUCAUUUCCUUGAUCAUCAUCAACUUCAUAUACUCUUCUUCAUCUCUCCAAUCCACUCAGGAACCUCUCCUGAGAAAGCCUGACUGACGGAGGGGUAUACAGUGCACUGUUUGAAAACGUCAGGGGUAGAAACAUCUAUAAAAAUAGAGUAGGGGCAUAAUUUGCACAAACUUAAAACAUCAGGGGCAAAAAAAUGUUUUUUAGCCAAAUUAAUACUAGCAUUACUGAGUUUGUGUGUGUAUGUUUUUACUUCGAUCACAUUAGAUGCUCUCCAAUCAUAGUGGGGAUAAGAGGAAACAAUGCAAGUGUACAAAUUGGACGCAAAUAUCAAGACUCCAUGUCCAUAAUUGCGAUCUCUGCAACCCAUCUGAAAGCUGUUUCCUCUUCAUAAAGUUGACUUGAAAAAAGAGCAAGAAAAAUAUGAGUUUGCUAUAGUACUGUGAGUCGGUGACAGCCAUGGUUUGGUCCUUUUGGUCAUCCUAUGAGCUGUGUCCAGAUCAUGUUUAGGGUCUCCUCAAAGUUUUCAUCUGAUAUUUUAACGUAUUCUGAUGUAAUUUAGUAGACAUGCUAUAUGUUACCAAGAAAAUUACAAUAAUGUAAGACCAUAUACAAUGGAUGGUUGAAACCAUUGUUUAAGUAUGUUGAAUUUUGUUGAAAUGGUUUAAUGGUUGUUGAAGUUUGUUGAAAGGGGGAGAGAGAAAAAAUUUGUUGAAGAUUUUCAACAAGUUUAAAGAGCCUGCGGUGUGCCACGUGGCGCGAGGCCAAUGGCCACCGCAGGCGCGUGUGCCACACGCGCAGACGCGCCUUGUCUGCAGGAAAGAGAAAUUAUUUUUUUUUCUCCUGACACGUGGCUCGUUCUGAUUGGUUGCUCCAGAUUUCGUUUUUCCUUAUCUUUUAAACUCGAUUAUUUCAUCAAAAAUAAUAUUUUCUGAAAAAAAAAAUUAUACCAAAAUUCAUGAUUUUUUUCCUCUAUAAAUAGAGACUUGGUUCGUUUGAUUUGGACACAGAAAAAAAAAACCAAGUUUUUUCACUCUCUUUAUCUCUCUCACUAUCUUAUUUAUCUAUAUAUAUUAGUAUUUGUAUUGAAAUGGAUCCCAACAAUCACCAUUUCAACACCCAGAAUUAUAGUCUAUAUUUAAAAAAAAAUUGUUAAGUGUUUAUUGUUUUAAUUUAAUUUAAAUCGAUAAUUGUAAUUUUAUGUAAUUAUAAAAACAAAAAUAUAAAAUUAAAUAAAAAUGUGAAAUAAAAAAGUGGUGGGGUAGGGUGUUGAGAGUUAAGUAAAACCAUUGGAGUGAGUAAUUGUUGAGAGUUUGUUGAAUUAGAGAGAGAAGAUGAUGUGGAGUGUUGGGAAGAGAAAAAAUGGGGUAGAAAAUGGUUAAACAAAACAUUUUUUGCUUAACCAUUGUAUAUGGUUUAAGAGUAGUGUUAGCUGGUGCAGUAAACUACGUGCAUUCACAUUUCGCUAAUGAGAGCAAAUUAUAACAAGAUUGGAUAUCAUAUAUUCAAUCUAAAUUUUAAGAUGUUAGACGAAUGAGUUCUUUCACUAAAAAAUUGCUCAGUAUUCUUUUUAUCUAAUGUGAGCUUCUUACAACAAUCUUUUUCUCAAGUAUAUAAGUCACCAAAUUGUUAGUAAAUCUUUCAACACCACUAUUUGGCCAAAAGAUAUACUUAAAACUAAAGACGAUUUUUUACAUUAUGUUAAAGAGCAAACCACAAGUGAAUUAAACAUUAUGACCCAGUUUGGAAGAGCUUAUUUAAGCUUAUCUGACAGCAUAAACUCUUAUCCCAGUGUUUGAGAGAGCUUAUGCAAACAGCUUAUGCUUAUUUUCAUAAGCUACUCAGGACAGCUUAUGAAAAACAGCUUAUGCUUAUAUACAGCUUAUUUAUAAUUUAUUUUAAUAAAUUUUUAAAAAUAGCUUAUGAAUAAGCGCUUAUGUCAUAAGCGCUUAAUUAAGCUGUUUUUCCAAACGGGGCCUAUAUCUAUCACCUAAAAGCUUAAGACAUUGAGUGUAUGAGUCAUAUCACUCAUAAACUGAUUAACACUCUUUUUAUCAUUGCUAAACUUCUUAAUCACACUUGAUAUCAAAACAUUACUUUUGAACACCAACCUUUCCCAUCCUUGCUUUCAUAUUUUAGCUUAGAAACAAGUGAGAUCCCACCUUUCAAUGUCAAUUAAAAAUGCUUUUGACUUAAACCAAACAUUUUGGAAGAGCUCAUGGCAGAGAGAACCACCACUUUUUAUGUUUUAUAAUUUGCAUAGUAACUUUUGAUAUUUUGCUUUUAGUAUAAUUUGGUUACUUUGAGAAAUUGUAAGGGCUGCGUCUACCGUGUGUCAGUUUCAAACUGACACACGGUGCUUCAGUUUUCCUAUAUGAGUGAUAAGACAAAAUUAACCUUCAUUGCUCAAAUUUUUCCAUCUUUCUCCUUCCACCAUCAUCAACACUCACUCUUCUAACCUUCAAGUUUUCCAGAUCUGCAGAUUAAUUGGAACUGAAUAAUGGGUAUGACAUUUUUUUUUUUGGAAGGAGAAAUUUAUUAAUAAAGAAGGGAACCAAGAGCAGUAGAACCGACUCAAGGACCAGGAACAACAGAAACUAGCCAAGGAUCCCCACAUAGACAGCAUCACGAGGCCAAAAAGAAAAGGAACAAAAACCAGAAGAUGAGAAAAUGUAGCAGAAAGCAAGAGACAGAAAAUUAGAGAAUAAUGGGUAUGACAUUUACCAACUCUCACUCUUCUAAUCUUCAACUUCAACCUUUCUCUUCCAACCCUAUCUUCUUCUUCAUCUUCUGUCCCAAAGCUCUUCACUUUCUCCAUCCCCAUUUCCAAUUAACCAGAUUCAUCAAAACUGGGUUUGUGUCUAUUCUUCUGGGUUUUGCUGGGUCUCUAACUGCAGUUCAUCCAGCCACUGCGUUGUACAGCCACAACCCCAACGCACCGCACAUCCGCCAGCGGUUGUACAGCAACACCAGCGGCGUUCUCAGCACAAUCGGUACUCCGACCACUGUAGAACCAUGGAGAUGGCUUACCUGAUGGCUUUGAAGCAUUUCUGGGCAGCAAAACACCAAAGAUCUCCACCACGGUUCCUAGAUCUGGGCAAACUUCCAUAUACCUGCAACUGGAGUUUCCAGCCAACUCCGGCGUCGUUUUAAAGCGAGACCACCACCAUUAGACUUCUCGUCUUGAGAGCUUUCAGAUCCUGUAGUUAGCUCGUUGAAGUGAAGCUUGGGUGCGCGGCGGACAAAGAAGCGACACGGCGGAGAUGGUGCGGUGGUGGAUGAAUCCGACCAAUGGGGGUGGGUUGGGGAAGAAGAAGGGUAUUUUUGUAAAUUAAGAUAUAAUUAACAAAUGAAUUGUUUUAAUGCUAAUUUAUCUGAACCGUUAAAAUUUAAAAAUAUCAGAUCUAAUGGUGCAUAUGAAACUGAAGCACCGUAUGUCAGUUUGAGACUGACACACGGUAGGUGAAACCUUCAGUUUAAACUAGUAUGAGUUUAAUGAAUAUAACAAAUUUGUAAUUGCAUUAUUGUUUUCAAGAUUUGAAAAGAAUUUAAAACAUACAUGCUCACAAGUUAAGACGGGUAGCUUUGAACUAUAAGUAAUUUUAGAGCAUUUAAGCAUGUUGUCAAACAUAUUAUAAGUAAAUAUCUGUUUUAAAUUGAACUCAACUAAACGUCAAUGAAAAUUUUGGGUUCAUUACACGCCUUACAAACUUAGUUAAUGUUUUAAACUAAAUUGAACCAAAUGACCAAUACCACUUGCCUUUGCCUAUAUGACUAUAUCCUAAUGGUGCCAUUCUGCUUUGACUAUAGUGUUUGUCAAACCGAGGUGUCCUCAGAAGAUAUGUUAUGAAUUCUGACAUAUUCAUCUAAAGCAUUACUUGCUAUGUUUAAAAUUCCCAAAGACAGGCCUUGUGUUCAGUAGCGUAGAUUAGUGGCAAGUGGCAACUCACCUCACACACUCUCACAACAAGAGCCUAGAUAUGCUAAUUUACUAUGCACAAUGUUAGAGGCACGUGGGUUGGAAGCUGUAUCAGUCAGUUUAGGAGACAGUACUGAGGCAUUAUUUCACACCAGCUACCAACCACCGCUAACUUUUUCUUAUCUCUCCCCCAACCUUGACCUCUAUAUAACACAACAUCUAGCUAGUAAUUGGUUCAAUCAGCACUCACUAGAGAACCAAUCACUUUUUCUCCUUCCUGAAAUGGCUUUCAAAGCCAUUCUUCUUCUGAGCAUUUUUCUUGUGGUCUCCACUAAGGUAUAACAUAGUUUCAUUCUGAUGAGGAAAUUACUUUCUUGUUCCAAGUGUUUUAGCUUCAAUAUCCUAUAACUUUGUUUUUAAUAUUUUUAUGUGCAGGUUUUUUCCCAUGAUGAAGAUCUCAAGAUAGUGGUAUGUUUGAUUAACUUUUGGUAUCUAAACAUCCUCAUAGAUAAACUUCAUUUCAUAAAUUAUUAUCACUAUCUGUAUGAUUUGUUUAUCUUUUUCUUUUAUUAUUAAGAGUGAUCUAAUGUAGCUUAUUUUUCACUUUAUCUUUUUAAAAUAGGUUAUUGCUGUUCUUUUAUUAAAAUACAAAUAAACAACUCUGGUUUUCUAGUCCUGUUAAUACUCCAUAGUCCACUCAGUUAGCACACAUUUAAUUAAUUGUUUAUUGCUUUGCAUUGAAUAGAAAUUGAUUUCCCCCACCUUCACUCCUCUGUUUUUCAUUUUUGUCAUAAUCUUUUCCCUCAUAUUUCCCACUUUUGAUAACAAGGAGAAUCUCUCACUUAACAUAGAUAUGGAAAGAUAUGUCAUAUGUUAAAUCCAUACACAGACAAAUAUAAAAGCAGUGUAUUAGACUUUAAAAGUUAUCAAUUUUUCCAUGCUAAAGGGCUAGAAAUCUUGUAUUUGGUACAGGUGAACUAUGCAAUUCCUUCAGUUCCUGCUCCUCCCUCACCAGUAAAACCACCAACUCCUUCAACUCCAGCAGUGACAGUUCCCACUCCACCUCUAGUGAAGGCACCAACUCCACCACCACAACCACCCGUGAAGGCACCUUCUCCUCCCAUAGUGAAAUCACCACCUUACUUUCCACCACCAGUGAAGGCACCUUCUCCCCCCAUAGUGAAAUCACCACCAGUGAAGGCACCAACUCCUCCCAUAGUGAAAUCACCUCCUUCCUAUCCACCACCAGUGAAGGCACCUUCUCCUCCCAUAGUGAAAUCACCACCAGUGAAGGCACCAACUCCUCCCCAAGUGAAAACACCUCCUCCUCAUCCUCCUGUAGUGAAGCCCCCUGUUGCUCCAAUUCCAUCAACUCCCAUAGUCAAAUCAAUGAAGGGUAAGUGAGUUACUAAAUCAUGUCUAUGAAAACUCUCUUCUUCAAUCUCUGUUGUAAUUCAUUGACCAAAAGAAAAAAAAAAAAAUCUCUGUUGUAAUUAAUAAUGAUUCACAUUUUCACAUUUUUUUUUUGUAUAAUUUGUGCAUAAUGUUUAUAAAGCAAACUUACACUCAAUAAUAUCCCACAAAAUUUAGUGUUUUUUUUCUCGAGCACAACGGCCUCGGAGGAUCCAUAUAGCCGAUUUCACUAAGAUAAGAAUUUUGUUGCUAUACAUAAUGUUCAGGAUUGAUUCUUGAUUAAUUCUUAAUGUUUGCUUAAUUUUAAGUGUUACUAGAAUCUGAUGAGCUAAUUGACACUCUUGAUUUUAUUUUUAUGGGCAGAU
rnacentral:lncRNA from 1 species